rnacentral:rRNA from 1 species
AUGAAUGCAAUGGAGAAGAAUGCCGGAGGUCCCGACAAGCUUGGAUUUAUAGAUCGAGACCUAUACAACCAUGUUUCAAUCCAGAAGAAGCGUAAGAUAGAAGGCAGUGACGCUAGAUAUUUCCUCACCUAUAUGAUUGCACAGAAAAAAGCAGACCCAGAAUUCUUUUUCAAAUACACAAAAGACAGCGAAGGCCAUUUGAGGAACAUAUUCUGGGCUGAUUCACAAUCCCGGAUUGACUAUGUUGCCUUUGGUGGUGUCGUGGUGUUCGACAGUACAUAUCAGUCUAACAAGUACAGGCUUCUGUUUGUUCCAUUUGUUGGUCUGAACCAUCACCGCAGCACAGUUUUGUUUGGGGUCGGUCUAGUGUCAGACGAGACGGUUGCAUCAUACCAGUGGCUUCUUCAUGUAUUUUUGGAGGCAAUGUCCCAGAAGCCACCCAUUUCAGCAAUCACCGAUGGGGACGGUUAA